rnacentral:ncRNA from 1 species
AUCUUCGAGGCGGGGGGCAGUUCCCCACCGGCGGUAAAGUCCGCAAGCCGAAAGGCAUGAUACGGUGAGAUUCCGUAACCGACGGUAUAGUCCGGAUGAAAGAGGAUA